GCAUAUCAAUAAGCGGAGGAAAAGAAACCAACAGGGAUUCCCCUAGUAACGGCGAGUGAAGCGGGAACAGCUCAAAUUUGAAAUCUGGCCUUCGGGUCCGAGUUGUAAUUUGCAGAGGAUGCUUUUGGUGCGGUGCCUUCCGAGUUCCCUGGAACGGGACGCCUUAGAGGGUGAGAGCCCCGUACGGUUGGCCACCAAGCCUGUGUAAAGCUCCUUCGACGAGUCGAGUAGUUUGGGAAUGCUGCUCAAAAUGGGAGGUAUAUUUCUUCUAAAGCUAAAUACUGGCCAGAGACCGAUAGCGCACAAGUAGAGUGAUCGAAAGAUGAAAAGCACUUUGAAAAGAGGGUUAAAUAGCACGUGAAAUUGUUGAAAGGGAAGGAUUUAUGACCAGACUUUUUCUAGGGGGAUCAUCCGGCGUUCUCGCCGGUGCACUUCCCCUAGUUGAGGCCAGCAUCGGUUUCUGCCGGGGGAUAAAAGCUUCGGGAAUGUGGCUCCUUCGGGAGUGUUAUAACCCGUUGCAUAAUACCCUGGCGGGGACCGAGGUUCGCGCAUCUGCAAGGAUGCUGGCGUAAUGGUUAUUAAUCACCCGUCUUGAAACACGGACCAAGGAGUCGAACAUUUGUGCGAGUGUUUGGGUGUUAAACCCUCACGCGUAAUGAAAGUGAACGGAGGUGAGAGCCCUUACGGGUGCAUCAUCGACCGAUCCUGAUGUCUUCGGAUGGAUUUGAGUAAGAGCAUAACUGUUCGGACCCGAAAGAUGGUGAACUAUGCGUGGAUAGGGUGAAGCCAGAGGAAACUCUGGUGGAGGCUCGCAGCGGUUCUGACGUGCAAAUCGAUCGUCAAAUCUGCGCAUGGGGGCGAAAGACUAAUCGAACCAUCUAGUAGCUGGUUACCGCCGA
rnacentral:rRNA from 2 species